AAAAAAAAAAAAAAAAAAUGAACAAAACCACCCCACCUGUCCAUUAGCACCUACUGAGGGCAAGGACUUUGUUGGGGACUAGUGAUCCAGCUCGCACAAGAUACCACCCUCAUGGGGUCUGUAGUCAAGUGAGGGGAACCUGACACCCCUUCUCCCCCAAUAAGCCCCCCAAAAUAUGCCAACAAGAAAACCUUCUUGCCCUUCUCUUUACCAGUUGUGUGUAUCUUGAGCUGAUUUACUAUAAAGCGGGGUUGUUACAGUGCCUUUAUCCAGGCAUAGAAGUCAAAUGAAAUAGUGUCAAGCUCACAGUUUGGCACGGAAUAAGCACUUGGGAAUAAGCGUUGGCUAUUUCAUGUUGCCACUGUCAUUUCAUUUCACUUUGUUAUAUUUUGGUUUUGGCCCACAGUCAUGGCAUGUGGAAGCUCCCAGACCGGGGAUCAAACCUGCACCACAGCAGCGACCCAAGCCAUUGCAGUGACAACACCAGAUCCUUAACCUGACCUGGCACCAGGGAACUCUGCCACUGUCAUUUUAGAGCCCAGGUUUACAUGGCCCUGAUCACAGGCUCUCAUCUAGAUCACUUCUCCGAAAGUGGCCCAUCUGCCCCACAACUGGGGUGCAGACACUCGGUACAGCCUCUUCGCAGGGGUUUCACCUUAGGUGCUGUUAACACUUAGGGCUGGAUAAUUCUUGGUGGCUGACAGCUGUCCCGGGAACUGCAGGGUGAUUAGCAGCAUCCUCGGCCUUAAGCCCCAGAUGCCAGGGGCAUCCCACCUUGUGACAACCCCGAUGUCUCCAGACAUUACCACAUGUCAGCUGGGAGGCAACCUUACCCCUGGUUGGGAACCACUGGCUUAAAGGGAGAUGUUUUUCCCACCCUCUCAGCCCAGAGAGGCUGCUCCCCAGUCAUCCUGCGGUUCCCCGUCUGGGGAGAUUACAUUGUCCACUCUCAUGCAAUGACGCGUCCCUUCUCAGACGCCACUUCCCGGGGGCUGGAGGAAACGCCCAGCCACCUUUAUCACUGCCAAGGAACAUGGGGGCCCACAAGAGGACACAGGGUGCAGUCUGUUCGGCCCAGGGCGCCGUUGCUUUGGGAAAACUCUCCGGAAGCUCCGUCUGAAACCUCUGCCUCAAAACCACGUCGUCCAGGAGGGCAUUCCGGAGGCUCAUUUUUAACAGGCAGGAGAAAGCAGCACAACGGAAGGCACACUCCGUACCCAAGGCAUUGAACGUACGGAUCAAACAAUAAAAUGUGCUUAUUCUCCCAG